rnacentral:rRNA from 1 species
GAUGAACGCUGGCUGCAUGCUUAACACAUGCAAGUUGAACGGGAAGUGGUGUUUCCAUUGGCGGACGGGUGAGUAACGCGUAAGAACCUGCCCUUGGGUGGGGAACAACAACUGGAAACGGCUGCUAAUAUCCCGUAGGCUGAGGAGCAAAAGGAGAAAUCUGCCCAAGGAGGGGCUCGCGUCUGAUUAGCUAGUUGGUGAGCCAAUAGAUUACCAAGGCGAUGAUCAGUAGCUGGUCCGAGAGGAUGAUCAGCCACACUGGGACUGAGACACGACCGAGACAAUAACGUGAGGAAGCAGUGGGGAAUUUUCCGCAAUGAGCGAAAGACAAACGGGGAAAUGCCGCGUGGAGGUAGAAGGCCUACGGGUAGUCAAUUUCUUUUCUCGGAGAAGAAUCAAUGACGGUAUCUGAGGAAUAGGCAUCGGCUAACUCUGUGCCAGCAGCCGCAGUAA